UACGGAGGAUCCGAGCGUUAUCCGGAUUUAUUGGGUUUAAAGGGUGCGUAGGUGGAUUGGUAAGUCAGUGGUGAAAGUUUGCAGCUUAACUGUAAAAUUGCCGUUGAAACUGCCGGUCUUGAGUGCAAAUGAGGUAGGCGGAAUGCGUCGUGUAGCGGUGAAAUGCUUAGAUAUGACGCAGAACUCCGAUUGCGAAGGCAGCUUACUGGGAUGCAACUGACGCUGAGGCACGAAAGCGUGGGUAUCAAGCAGGAUUAGA
rnacentral:rRNA from 1 species